rnacentral:rRNA from 1 species
UUCGCAAUGCCCGAAAGGGUGACAAUGCGACGCCGCGUGUGCGAUGAAGGUUUUCGGAUCGUAAAGCACUGUCGGCCGGGAUGAAUCUCGGGAGGCAUAACAAGUCUUCCGGGUGACAGUACCGGCAGAGGAAGCCACGGCUAACUCCGUGCCAGCAGCCGCGGUAAUACGGAGGUGGCAAGCGUUACUCGGAUUGAUUGGGUGUAAAGGGCAUGUAGGUGGUGAAUUAAGUCGAACGUGAAAUCCCUCGGCCUAACCGAGGAACUGCGCCCGAUACUGCGAUGCUUGAGGACCAGAGGGGUGCAUGGAAUUUCCGGUGGAGCGGUGAAAUGCGUUGAUAUCGGAAGGAACUCCGGCGGCGAAAGCGAUGCACUGGCUAGUUUCUGACGCUGAGGUGCGAAAGCCAGGGGAGCAAACGGGAUUAGAUACCCCGGUAGUCCUGGCCGUAAACGAUGGGCACUAAGUAGAGGGGUUUU